GGGAGUUGUAGUUCUACAUCUGGGGAUCCCCCAUUCUGGGCACCCCUGUUGUAGAUAAUUAAAUGCUGUUACUAGGUUGUGGUAAAUGGUUUGUUUUUAACCCCUUAAGGACCAAACUUCUGGAAUAAAAUGGAAUCAUGACAUGUCGCACAUGUCAUAUGUCCUUAAGGGGCUAAAGGGGGAUUCUCAGUACCAAAGGUAUAUAACUCAUAAUAAGGUUAUGGUGCUAUAAAUCUAUAGAGGGUGCCUUAAUAUUAAAAGAACUAUAACUCAUACAUUAAAGGAAC